UAGUCCACGCCGUAAACGAUGACAACUAGCCGUUGGGCAGAUUUAACUGUUCAGUGGCACAGCUAACGCAUUAAGUUGUCCGCCUGGGGAGUACGGCCGCAAGGCUAAAACUCAAAUGAAUUGACGGGGGCCCGCACAAGUGGUGGAGCAUGUGGUUUAAUUCGAUGCAACGUGAAGAACCUUACCAAUCCUUGAAAUCUAGCGAAGUUCGCAGAGAUGUGAAUGUGCCUUCGGGAACGCUAUGACAGGUGUUGCAUGGCUGUCGUCAGCUCGUGUCGUGAGAUGUAUGGUUAAGUCCAGUAACGAGCGCAACCCCUAUCCUUAUUUGCCAGCGCGUAAUGGCGGGAACUAUAGGGAGACUGCCGGGUGAAACCCGGGAGGGAAGGCGGGGGACGAGGGUCAAGUCAUCAUGGCCCUUAUGGGAUUGGGGCUACACACGUGCUACAAU
rnacentral:rRNA from 1 species